UACGAAGGGGGCUAGCGUUGCUCGGAAUCACUGGGCGUAAAGGGUGCGUAGGCGGGUCUUUAAGUCAGGGGUGAAAUCCUGGAGCUCAACUCCAGAACUGCCUUUGAUACUGAGGAUCUUGAGUUCGGGAGAGGUGAGUGGAACUGCGAGUGUAGAGGUGAAAUUCGUAGAUAUCGGGAGGAACACCUGUGGCGAAGGCGGCUUCUGGGCCCUACCUGACGCUGAGACGCGAAAGCGUGGGGAGCGAACCGGG
rnacentral:rRNA from 1 species